UAUCAAUCAGUUCAGGGUGUCCAGGUGGUUGAUUAUCUAACUUUUCCACCUCAUUUCCCCCAGAAUUUCCUUUUUGUGACGUGGAAGCCUGCGUUUGUGCCUUGCUUAAACGUCUUCUCAUUUUUAUUUUUGGUACUGUCCUUGGUUUAAUUCCUGGGUUGAUAUUUCAGAAUUGCUUAAUGCAGGUAUCUUUGUUGCUUGUGUUUAAAACCCUUGUGGAUUGAUUGCUUUUCAGAGGUGUCUUCCAGAUAUGGCUUGUGUUUAGGUUUUGAGGCUCUAAUGACUCUGAGGCUAUUUUAUUUUCCUUAUACCAGGAAGGAAAACUGAUGAGAUCAAUCACAACGUGUUAGGCCAAAUGUUACAAUCAGCAAUACCAUAGCAUCAAGCGCAGCUUGGAAAAUGACAAUUUGUGGUAGUUAUUAAUCUAUCACAUUUAACUAUGUGAAGUAUAAUCCCCUGUGCCUCUGUAGCAUGGGACCAGGUAGCAGAAGAGCCGGAAAAUGGCGGGGAGGGAGGGAUGGAAUUGGCUUUGCAGGCGCCUGAGCGGCUAAGCGGAGCACCGGAUGAAGGUGGGACUUCAAGCCACUCCCAGGACCUCACCGUGCUGUAGGCAGGAACCGGAACACAGCCGAAGAGCCUCAGGCUGCUUGGCCGACCCUCGGAGAGAAGCACCAGAUGAAGGCGGGGUUCCAAGCCGCUCCCGGGUCCUCACCGUGCCAUGGGCAGGAACCGGAACACAACCGAGUAGCCUCCGAAAAUUUGAUUUUAGAAAGAAUGAUAAAGGGAAAUAAACAAAUUAUCUGGAUUCUCUAGAGUUUACAUACCUACAUUGCUAUCUUGUCAUGUAAUGUUUUGUUCUUCUUCAUUUCUCUGUAAUGAAUAGAGGACCAUCAAGGGUGAAUCAGUUUCCAACACUACCUGUGCUGACUGAUUAGACCUUGUAUAGCCACCUUGAAAUAUUCCACACAAAGUUUUGAUGAAUCUUGAAUUCUUAAUGUAAGGCACAAAAUUGUUCUUAUAACCUCAGAUAAACACACUAGAUACUGAGUGUCUUUAAGUCUGUAUAAAGGGAGGAGAAAACACCAAUCUUUUUAAAGUUAUUAAUUUUUUCCCUGGGCAAAUUUCCAUUUUUCAUGAUCGAGAGUGGUAUUACUGCCAACUCCCAAACUGGCCAAAUUUCCAGUCCCCAGAUGGGCAUAUUGUGACACUAUUUAAUAGUCACAUCACAAUGCUUCUCCUCAAAUCAGACUAGCAGCUCAGCUUCUCCAAACUCCUGAACAAAGGUGAGGCUGAAAGUAAAAAAUGAUGGGGAACUUCUGAGUGCUGUAAGGGGAAGGGAAUUUUAAAAUCUUGGAUGAUUGUUUCUUAGGAUAAUGAGAAAACUGAUAUAAAAUAACUAAUUUAUAUAAAAUUAAUAUACAGCAUAUAUGGAUUUCAGCCUGUGAAAGUCCAAAAUGAUCUCUGAAAACUAAUGAUAGGGGCCUGAGUGUGUAGUUCAGUGGUAGAGUCCUUACCUACUAUGCACAAGGCCUUGGGUUCAAUGCCCCUUGCUGCAAAUGAAAUAAAGUUGCUUACGAUUUAGAAACUAGUGAGAGAAAAGUUUUAUGCAGAACUCUGAAAUGUUAGAUUAGUACAGUGUGAUACAAAUAGCAUGAUGCAAAUUUCAGAUGCAAAAGCAAGGUGCUUUUCUAGCAAUCUCCUGUCAUUUUCACAAUAAAAUGUGGAAGUCAUCAUGAUCCUUGCCAUAAGUUUCAUGGAGAUUGGUGAUAUUUAUUUCUCUUCCAAAGACCUUGAAGAACAAAAUUGAGUAGAACUUUCUGCCUGUUACUUGUCUAAUCCAGAAUGAAUCUAGAAGCUUAAGGAGAGUAAUUAUGAAUGCAUCUCCUGAUCCUGUGAGACCUCAGGUAGUUGAAAGGAAGUAUUGAGAUUUCUUAAGUGAAAGCAUUUGGAUUUAUCUUGAUUUUAACCUGCAUUGGUAUGUUUUUAUAAUUUAUGUAUGAUAACUGAAUUCCUAUAGACCCAAUGCUUCCUGGUAGAAUUAUCCCCUAUACUUGACAAGUUGUUUACUUUGAGGGGAUGCUGUAAUUACAUGGCUUCAGUGGACUUAACAUUCUAUUCCACCUCCUUGACUUUUUACUUGUCUUUACACUACCUACUAUUUUCUCUUUCUUUUUGUCCUCAUCUCGCCUCUCUGUCUUCAAAUUCUGUCAGUCUGUAUAUGACCACUUCAAGUCCUAUGUGCAUAAAGCUUUUUUCUUAACGUUUCUUUUCUGUAAAUUCUUUCCUGUAGUUUGACUGUUUGUGUCCCCUCUUCUCAAAUGUGUAUGUUGAAACCUGACCCCCAAUGUGGUGAUAUUAAGAUGUGAGGCUUGGGCCGGGGAUUUAGCUCAGUGGUUUCAACGCCUGCUACGCAAGUGCAAGGACCCGAGUUUGAUCCCCGGUACCAAAAAAAAAAAAAAAAAAAAAAAUGUGAGGCUGUGGGGGUGAUUAGGUCAUGAGGGCUUCACUCAUGAAUUGGAUUAGCACCUUUAUAAAAGAAGCCUGAGAGAGUUUUUCUUCUUUUUUACUUUUUGAGGACACAGUAAGAAGACACCAUCUAUGAAGCUUAGCAGAUCUUGGACUUUCUAGCUUCUAAAACCAUGAACAAUAAGUUCCUGUUGUUUAUAAAUUACCCAGUCUGAAGUAUUUUGUUGUAGCAGCCUGACACACACAGUUACUAAACAUCUCUCUUAUCUUCCACAGCUAUAAAAACCUGGACAGGUUGCUUAACCUCUCUGAACUUCAGUUUCCCCAUAGAUACAUAGGGAUAAUUAGAAUGCCUUUUAGUGUAGUUGUAAGGAUCAGAUGAUCUAAACAAAUAGUCUUAGAAUAAAGCCUAACACAUUGUAAGCAUACAAAUAUUUUUAUUAAAAUUCAAGAGCUAGUUGUGUUUUCUCUUCUUAAAUACUACAUUUUCCUCUAUUUCCUCCCCAUAUUUGUUAAUAUUUUAUUUAAUGAUUUUUAAUAUACCAUCAAAGGAGGCUUUCUUUCAAGUUUUUAAGUAUAUUGACUAACACAAAGAGUUACCAGUUACCAAUUUUCUUAAAAGCCAACAUCUUAUACUGCCUGCCUCACAAGUGCAAGAACCUGAGUUCAACCCCUGGUACCAAAAAAAAAAAAAUUAAAGUAAACACAAUGCAUAUUUAUUGUUUAACUACAUGUAAUUUUUAAUAUUUUGUUUCUAUUUCAACUUUACAUAUCAUCCAUGAUACAUUAAAAUAAUCAUUUCUACUUCAAUUUAAACCUUCAUUUAAAUCCAUGAAAAUUUGUUUUGUUUUAUUUUUGUGCUGGGCUCAAACCCAGGACCUUAUGCAUGUUAGGCAGGUGCUCUACCAUUUAGCUAUAUCCCCAACCUCAAGUAAUUCUUAUCUAAACUAUCUGUCAUAUUGCAGAACUUCUGUAAAUAUGAGUGAUUCAUUGUGUUAGUUACUACUGUGGAAAAUAAAACUACACAUUGAGAAUUUUGAAAUACAACUUACUAGCUACUGAAAUCUGCAUGCAGGAAGAAAUAGCAAAUUGUAACACAUCCACAUCACGAGUUCUCUUUUCACAUGAUUUAUACAGGAGCACAUCCAAGGUCCCCACCACUCCUUCAUAAAUCUGUGAUCUACAGGAGAGGAAGGGCCUUGUACUCCAAAAUGAACAAACAUGGAAAGACUGAAAGGAAGCCUGAGCCUGAGCCCUGACCUUACACGACAUGUCUAUUUGGCUUUUCUUGAAAUGUGUCCUCUCCUAAUAAAAAUGUGAAUGUAAGUAUAGUACUUUUAUGAAUUCUGUGACUCAUUUUAGUGAAUUGUUAAACCUGAGGGGGUCAUGGUAACCCCACAGUGGCAAGGUGGGCAUAGUGUGGGUGGCCUGGGGACUCCUGAGACUUGCUUGGCUGGGAUCUGAAGUGAGGGGAGUCUCAUGGAGGUCUCUGCCUUUAACCUGAGGAACUUGUGUCAGCUCUAGUGUCAGAAUUGAUGUGGAGUGAAAAAAAGACAACAUUAAGUAGCUGGUACUGGAAUCUAUAGAAGUAGAUCAAGUUACCAGAGCAUGACUGUAAUGGAAGGACUGAUUUACUGAAGGCCUUCCGAGGACCACAAAAUGAUAAUACUGCCUCCUGCAAUCUGAUUCAUAUAGAUCUGUUAGGAUGACUUCAUGGUAAGGAAUCAUGCCCAUGAGUCAUUUGAAAACAAGACAGGUCAAAAUAUUUUGAUAAGCCUAGGGCACAGCAUUUCAGAUGCAUUGUGACCUAUCUCUUUAUUUCCCUGGCGUCCUAUGAGGGCUUUCUUUUGGAAAAAGACAAUAGGGCUAUCCUUUGCCACUUAGUUUCUCUGACAAACUUUCUACCUAGGCAAGACAACUAAGACUGGAUUACCAGUAAGUCAGCCUGUUAUGUGUGCAGCUCUGGAUUCCUCUGCUCUGUCUGCCUCUCCUGGAUAGCAAUUCUGAGAAGAAUCACCUUGCUGGUACUCUAUGGAGGAUGGAGGGCACUAUUUCUUGCUCACUAAGCUGUUUACAGUUUGGCAAUAUAACAUAGCAACAGAGAGAACAAGAGAAGUCACAAGGCAUUGAACACCCACUACCUGACAGGUUUGGGAUGAGUGCUUCUACUUAUGUUCACUUAUUUAAUUCUCAUAACCUCCCUGUAGAGUAAUUCUUACUUUCUCAGUUUGUACACACUCAAAACUAUAACUGAGAGUUCCUGGAGGUCUCAGAACUAGACUUUAGAGAACAAGCAGGGGAACUGAUAUCAGGGCCUGCAGUGUAGUGCCAAGUCCCUAGUAGGGGAAGCCCAAAGGAGUAGGACAAGUUUGCUGACCUUUGCAGUCUCCCCUGCCCACCAGCAGGGCAGGUAGCCUGGAUAAUGUCUCACCUGAGCCAAAAUUGUGGACUGGGACCUGAACUGCAGACAGAGUGCAGCCAUUUGCCGGGGAACGUCUCCAGCCAAACACACUUUCCUACAUUUCCUAAGGGUUCAUGGCAGUUGUUUUCCCAUGGAAACAAGCACAAAUCUGUUUUAAUCAUCAGGCAUUUCUAGUUUCCUAAUUUGUAUGGGAACCUAGAGAUACGGACAUACGGUACAUUCAUUAUCCCGGAAAGCUAUGGCUGAAAAGAAAAUAGUUGAAGCCAAUCUUAAAACUGGUUUCAGCAGAUGCCUUCAAAUUACUUUUCGUAAUCUAAGGAGCUGUCAACAAUCCUGCCAGAAGUGUUGUUUCUGUUUCAGCUCAGUACUUCGAGCAGGAUUUACGUUUGAUCCUUGAUGGUUCCCCAUAGCAUAUCACACAACCUGCCAACUCUUUUGGAUGUAUCUCAGAUUUCUCCCUCUUUAUUUCUCUUUUUUCCCCCCUCUUUAUUUGUUGAAUCAGCCUGAGUGGAAAGAACAGGGACUCAGGAUAGUUAGCAGAUCUGCCUGCUGAUCCUGACUUGUGACCUUACCAGUCCUGGGAUGUUGGCUAAGACUUCCUUAUGGCUUAUUUUCUUCAUCUGAAAUUCCAUUUCUUCAUUGACCAUCUACUUUAUUUCAGGCUGCUUUAGGAACUGGAUGUAUUAGUUAGCUUUCAUAUUGUCAGGACCCAAUACCCAACAUCCACAAGUUAAAAGGAGAGGUUGAACUUAGGAGAGUUUUCAAGAGAUUCACUGCGUGGUUGGCUGGCUCAAAAGUAAGAACAUCAUGGCAGAAGGACAUGGUGGAGCAAAACUGCUUAGUUCAUGGAAGCUGGAAGCAGAGCAGGGGAACAGCACUCCAGAGGAAGGGGUGAAGGACCAUAUAUAGUACCCAAGGUCAUGCUUCCAUGACCCACCCAGACACACCCAAAAAUGUGCUUUACUAAUACCUUGGGCAUCUCUUAUGCCAAUCAAUAUGACAAUUAAGAUCAACUAUCACAAGAGAUAACAAAGAACAAAAUAAAAUCCUUGCCAUUGUGGAGUUUAUAUUCUGGGGAGAGAUAAUAAAUAAAUGAAUACAAGAGAUCAUAUGCCCAAUGGUGCUAAGGGUUAAGCAGAACAGUAAAGCACAAGGAGUAUUUGGGUAAGGCAAUGAUAUAUUUUUAAAAGGCUGCUCUCAUGGAGAAAAGGGAGUGGAGGACAGGCCUGAAGAAGGCACGAGAGUAAGCCGUAUGGCUCUGAGAGGAAGAAUAUUCUGGUAGACGCCCCAAGGGUGGAGACUAUGGAUGUUUUUGGAGAACAGCAAGAAAUCCAGUCCUGUUCUAAACGUGUCAUAUGUAUUAAUCUAUUUAAUCCUUUUAAUAGUCCUAUGCCUCUUAUAAUCUACAACAUAAUAAGCUUGAAUCUCAGCUCUGUCACUUGCUAUUUAGGAAAAUCUCUUAGACUUAAUUUUUAAAAUAAGGUAAUGAUAUAAUAUGAUUUGCCUCAUGAGACUGUAGUGAAAAUUAACUUGCUGUAACUGAGGAGCUACAUAGACCAGUGCUUGAUACAUAGUAAACUCUCAGUAUACAGUGCUAUUAUUAUUGGCAACAAAUACAUUUCUAAAGUAAAGAAGCUACAAGAUGAGAGCCUCGUUUGUACUGGCUUUCAGAUAGAAGAACCAUUUCCUUUUGUCCAUAUUUGUUAUGAUUUAGAUCUCAAAUGUCCCCCUAAAGUCUCACGUGUUCAGAGGUUGGGCUUCUGGAAGGUGGUUGGAUCAUGGGGCACCAUACUCAUCAGUGGAUUAGUCCUCUGAUAAGUGUAUCAGUCAGUGCUUACUAGAGAAACAGAUUUAAUGCAAGAUAUACAAAUAUAUAAGAACUUGCAAGACUGAUUUACAGUGGCUACCCGCAGAGUCAGAUGUGGAAGAGUGCAAAAGGCCUUAUGUGCUGGAGAUCUGAAGGAUCCAAUGGAAGGCCUGGAGCCCACUGUAGUGCCCCUUGCGAGUCCGUUUCAGGGGCAGAAGGGUCUGCAUUGGAAGGCUGAAGGGUCUGUGCUGGAAGCCAGGAGAUGAUGUCCCAGGUGAAGGUGAAGACUGGAGCUCCUCUGAAGAAACAGAAGUGAGCCUUCCUUCUUGGUUUCCCCUUUAUAACAUUCAGGUGUCCACCCUAGCUGCCCUAGGGUGGAUCUUCUGUCUUCAGUAAUUCCCCCAGCCAUACUCAGCACUGUGCUGAUCUAAUUUAGUUGGGCAUUUCUUAUUCAAGUAGACACAAUCAUUUACCUAUCACUGAGUUCACAGCUGAAGGUGCUGAUAGGAGGUGGGGUCUGAUCGGAAGAGGUGGGUAGUUGGGAGCAUGACUUGGAAUAGUGUGUUCUUGUCCCCAGCUCCUCCCUUCUCUCUCUGCUUUCUGGUUGCCAUGAGUUGAACAGCUUCCCUCUGCCAUGCCCUGCCACCAUGUCAUUUCUGCCUUGGAGUCUCCCACUCUAGCACCUGACCACGCAUGAACUGAGUCCUCUCAAACUGUGACCAAAAUAAACCUUCUUUUAUGUGCAUCAGGAAUUCGGUACCAGCAAUUACAAAAAAACUGACUAAUAUAAUGUAGUAGAAAGUUUUAGAGUCUGUAUUAAUUUUCAAGGCAUUAGAGAUACAGUGGUACCUCAGCUCACAAACUUAAUUCUUUCCAUGAUUCUGGUUGCAAACCAAAUUGAAUUCAAUGGUUAGGUUCAAUGUUGACCUUGGGGAAGUUUGAUUCGGUUUGUGACCAAUUUGGUUUGAGACCAGAAUCAUGGAAAGAAUUAAGUUCAUAAUGCCCAUAUCAAGAACUCACUCCAACAUCACUGACACUUUAAAAGUAAUCUAUUUUUGAAUAAGAAUUCAUGCACAUGAUACAGAACUUAAGAGAAGUAAGAAACAUGCAGAGAAAAUGUACAUGAUAUUACCAGGUUUUUGGUACAUCCAUUGGAGAUAGUGUGUGAAUAGCCCAUUUCUCUGGCCACCCCAUUCACCCACACAUCUUCAAAUACAGUCAUGAUUACUUAAAAUGGAAUAGAGGAUAUGCUCUGAGAAAUGCAUUGUUAGGUGAUGGCACUGUUUGGUGACCAUAGUUGAGUGUAUUUGUGCAAACUAAGAUGGCUACAACUACAUUUCUCAGAGCUGUAAUCUAUGUGAUUCAUCAUUGACUGAAACAUUGUUAUAUGGGCAUAUUAUUGUAUUCAUUUAGCAAAUAUAUUCAAUAGGAGUCUAUGUAUUUUUUGUUUGUUUUUGGACCGGAGAUUGAUCUUGGGACCUUGCGCUUUCAGGGCAGGUGGCAGAACCACUGAGCUAAAUCCCCAGCCCAGUGUAUUGUUUUUAUUGAGUUGUAUCCAAGCUCCAAGCUUUUGAAGACCUGGGGCAAGAGUUUUAGUUUAGGAAUAGAUUGUUUUCCUAGGGUCAUUUUCUUACCAUGUUAGGGUUAGGAACAUUGUUCUAUGAACUCUGUCAAUCAUCAUCUCACAUAACACCUCAGAGAGGGGCUCCUAAUCAGGCAUAGGGACUGAAAGUGAUUAAGGAGGAGGAUCAAGGGAAAGAAGGUGAAGCUGAUGAGUUCCUAUUUGAUGUCAGUUUGUGACUCUAGGAAUUUAAAAUGUGCUGUCCAGCUACUUUGGAAGAUGGCUAUCAAUUGUUCUCUCUAUUUUGCAGGUGAGGAAAGUCAAGUGUAGAAAGAUUCUGUGCCUUGCCCAAGGUAGCACAGCUGGAAAGUUGAGGAGGCAGGAUUCAAACUUACAUCAGGCUGAUAUUAAAAUCCCAAGCCCAGUGAUUUUAGAGCAUUGACAAAGGGAAUUGUGUCCUAGGUGGACAGAAAGUGGCUGAAUUCCAGUUGUUUUAAAUACUUUAAGAAGGGAAGAGAAAAAAAUCAGAAAACUAACCUUUCCAAUAUCAAAAUCAGUAUCCAACAGACAAGUUGGCAGCCCAUCAGCACCUCUUUUGGACAUGUGGGCUGUGGACCUGGAUCAGUGUUAAAUAGUCACAGGGGACAGGUGUGAGACAAGCACUCAGUGAUCAUAGGGUUUUGCUGGGAAGGCAGGAGUUCUAUACUCAAUGUUGCUGCUUUAGUGCAUUCAGAGAUUCCCCACAUCUUUGACAAAGUAGAAAUCAGCUAUCAUCACUUGAGCAUAUUACUAGGAAUUAUAUAAAUGAAAAUUCCUAAUUAAAAAAUUGUAUAUUUUGUAGUUUAAACAACAGACAUUUGGGGCCCGGGAUUUAGCUCAGUGGUUCUGCCAUCUGCCUGGAACGUGUAAGGUUCCGAGUUCGAUCCCCGGUACCAAAAACAAAAAAACCCAGACAUUUGUUUCUCACAGUUCCAGGGGAAGUGCACGAUGAAGGUGCCAGUGGGUUUUUUCCAGAGGGUGGGGGAGGGAGUAGAGAAGGGACAGGGGAGAGACAUGUUAGCCACUUAUUAUAAGAGCACUAAUUCCAAAUUCCAAAUUCAGAUGUCUCCCCCAUGAGUCAUCUAAGCCAAACACCCCCUAAGGCUUAGCCUCCUGAUAGCAUCUUGUUGGGGUUAGUAUUUCAAUGUAUGGCUUCCCGAGAGUCAUGACAACAGUAUUCAGUCCAUGACACUAACAAUAGGAAAAUAAUGCAUUCAUGUAGACUUAGCUUGUUUCACUUAGCAGUUGGCAAAGUAAACUCACAUAAAUCACCUCAUUUGAGCUGUGGGGUUGUUAUGUGUGAGUUAGCUAUUUUUCCCCUUAUUUUACAGAUGAAGUGGCUGAAUCGAGAAGCAUUUGGUUUCUCCUAUGGUCAAAUGGCUAAGUAACAGCAGUGGAGUGCAAAUUCAGGUCUUCUAAUUCUAAAUCCUGUGUGCUCACAGCUGCACCAGGAAUUGGGCCAUUCUUCCCUUUGUAGUAACAGUAGCAAUAACAAAAGAGGAGCAACAAUGAAUGUUUAUUCAGUGCUGUACUAUGCACCUAUCUCUUUGAAAAUAUGUCUUGGCAUAGAUACCAGUACUGUUUUGAUUUUCUAUGCCUGGGAAAGCCUUAAACCAGUGGUAGUGAACCUGUGGCAUGUGUGGUUUUUCUUUUAAGACACAAGAUGUUAAUGUAUGCAUUGUUUUCUUCUAAACUAAAACCUCAGUAUUCAGGUUUAAUGGCAGUGUUAGCACCUUGUGAUAAAGAAGUAGGUUUUGGAUUGCAGUACGGGCACUCCUCUCUAAAAGAUUUGCCAUCCCUGCUAGACUAAGUCUGACCCAGGUCUGGCUGAAUGUAGAGAUUACAUUCACAUUAAGCCACUCUGCUACUGUGGCCUUUGAAAUACUCUUCUGAAAAAUAAUAUGUAAGAUGAAAAUAUUCUGUUAGACAUAUUUUUUCAGGAUUUUGGUCAGAAAUGGAUUUCUUGCCCUUUAAAAGCAUUAGUGUCCUAUAAAGUACUCUAUUGAAAGUCCUCUUUCUCAGGCACACAGAUGGAGGACAGAAGUUUCUUUAUGCUCUAAAAGGUCCAUUCUAUGUAGUUGACUAUAAUGAGAUCAUAUCUUGUUCUGAAUGUUUCACAAAAGAGGCACUGGGCUCAUUCCAAAUGAAAGCCAAAUCAAAGGAAAAAAAUGCCCAAAACAACAGGAUGUUACUCAGUGGUAUGGAUGGGAACUUUUCAUUUCUGAGUUCAUUCUGAACCUAGACAUCUGCAGAUGUGUUCCACCCUAGCAUUCAGCCUGGAGUCAGAGAACUGCAUGUGUCUCUCCCUGAGAUGUGAGGAGGAGACAAGGAUGGCACAGAGGGCUGCUACAGGUCGCAUAAUGCAACAUUGAACUUUACACUGGUGAGGUUCAGAAUUACGUGGAGCAUAGAGAGUGAGUGGAAACUUCGCUGUGACUGAAGUAGCCUAUUCAGGUGAACAGAACCUUUGAAUGUGUCCAGAAAAGUUAUACUUUAAUGCCUGGGCCUAUUUGAAAUACUCAUUUGGGAAGAAUGAUCAGACCUCUGAAGAUAAGUGUUUCACAGCUUUUGUUGUGUUAGAAUCUGCAACCCCGAGAACAGUUUUUCUAGGCAAACACACUGGUGCACUUAGGUUCUCAUUUCCAGGAAUGGAGCCUAUGUUAUUCUGCAGAGAAUCAGCUUCUCUGAGCACACAGGUGGCCUUACCGUCAUCCACCUCAGGCCUCAUUUCAUAAAAGAGAAAAGUGAGGCCCAGUGAGGGUCAGUGACAUUCCGGAGUCAAAGUGUCCUAGGAGAGAAUUUCCUGCAGGAGGACCAUUGUUCAAACUGCUGUUUCCAGCUUUGGUUGAGUUUUUGCAGUCUUUUUGUUUUGUUUUUGGUACUGGGGAUCGAACUCAGGACCUUGUGCUUGCGAGGCAGGCACCGGAACCACUGAGCUAAAUCUCUGGCCCAAGUUUUUGCAGUCUUUAAGGACAAAAAUUUUGAAAUCUGUUCUGGAUUUUGAAUCAGAUUCCUUUCUCACUAGCUGUGUGCCUUUUGGAAAGUCAUUUAACUUUCUCAAGUCUCUGUUUCCUCAUCUGCAGGAUGGGUAUAAGAUUUCCUUCCUUUAGCUAUGUAUGGUGAUGCACGCCUAUAAUGCUAGCACUCUGGGAAGCUGAGGAAAGAAGAUCAAAAGUUCAUGCCAGGGAUUUAGUUCAGUUGCACUGUGCCUGCCUGGCAAGUGCAAGGUCCUGAGUUCAACCCCCGGUAUCAGAAAAAAAAAAAAGAAAGAAAGUUCAAGCCCAGCCUGGGCUACACAGUGCCUUAGUGAGAUCUUGUCUCAAAAACAAUUUUUUUAAAGGCGUAGGAGGCUAGGGAUAUUGCUUAUUGCAGCUCCCUGGUGGCUCUUUGGGAAUGCACAUGGGAAGCCUAGCAAUGCCUGGAGGAUUUGGGUUCUGACCAAAG
rnacentral:lncRNA from 1 species